ACCGCCCCGUGGAAACUGGCGCACGGGUGAGUAACGCGUGGGAAUCUACCCCGGGGUGGGGAAUAACCGCUGGAAACGGCGGCUAAUACCGCAUACGCCUUGAGAGGGAAAGCUUUAGCGCCCUGGGACGAGCCCGCGUCGGACUGCUUGUGUAGUAACGCUACAGGCUCGAUCGAGCUGUCGAGGAGAUCGCACAUGACUGACACGCAGCUCUACGAGCAGAGUGGGAUAUGACAUGGGCACCCUGAUCAGCCAUGCCGCGUGCGUGAAGAAGGCCUUAGGGUUGUAAAGCGCUUUCGGCGGGAAGAUGAUGACGGUACCCGCAGAAGAAGCUCCGGCUAACUCCGUGCCAGCAGCCGCGGUAAUACGGAGGGGGCUAGCGUUGUUCGGAAUUACUGGGCGUAAAGGGCGCGUAGGCGGAUUGUCAAGUCAGAGGUGAAAGCCCUGGGCUCAACCUGGGAAUGCCUUUGAAACUAGCAGUCCAGAGUCCGAGAGAGGAUGGCGGAAUUCCCAGUGUAGAGGUGAAAUUCGUAGAUAUUGGGAAGAACACCAGUGGCGAAGGCGGCCAUCUGGCUCGGUACUGACGCUGAGGCCAACGUGGACAACGGAUAAUCCUGUGUCCACGCCGUAAACGAUGUGUGCAGCCGUUGGAAAACCUAGUUUUUCAGUGGCGCAGCUAACGCAUUAAGCACACCGCCUGGGGAGUACGAUCGCAAGAUUAAAACUCAAAGGAAUUGACGGGGCCCGCACAAGCGGUGGAGCAUGUGGUUUAAUUCGAAGCAACGCGCAGAACCUUACCAGCCCUUGACAUGCCCGUCGCGGAUCUCGGAGACAGGAUCCUUCAGUUCGGCUGGACGGAACACAGGUGCUGCAUGGCGUGUCAGCUCGUGUCGUGAGAUGUUGGGUUAAGUCCCGCAACGAGCGCAACCCUCGUCCUCAGUUGCCAUCGGU
rnacentral:rRNA from 1 species